AAUUUUUUUUUGUUUUUUUCAUCUUCUCAACUGUCUAUCUAUCUAUCGGAACAAAAUCACCAAAUGAAUAUUCUUCUUUCUCACCUAACCAUCACUGUCAAAAGCUCCAUUUUUUAACAUAUUGGAGCUAUUCCGCAGAGUUAAUUACCGGAUCUGUAAUCCUCCUCAUAAGUACUCUCUGUUGGACUGCAUUAUUUCACGAUGUAGACACCGUUGUCGAUGACCACCGUGUCGGAAGUCAUCAUCGCCGCCGCGAGGGUUAUUUUUUACCUCAUUUUUUCAUAUAAGAUCGAUGCAUCAUGAAUCUUCCGAGGAUUCACUUAAGACGCGAAGCAAAGAAUGAGUUAAAACAGUUGUAAAGCGGAGGCAGUUCAAGAUUUUCUCCUCAAAGACCCAACUUUCAAGAUCAGUAUUUGAUGUUGAUAAUAGCCCGAAAUCUUUGCUGCUUUUAAGUGGAAUAACAAUGUGCCUGGUUUAUAUGAAUUAAAGGCUCUAGAAAUCAUUGCAAAGAUGUAACAAAAAAAAAUCAAUGCAAAGGAAGAGAAUGGCAAGAGGAAAUGAAGAUUGGUCAUUGAGUUCUCUGCCUAAUGGUGAAGGAAAGAGGGCAAGAGAAUUGAGUGAAAUUGAAAGGAAUGAAGGGCAAUUUAUAUUGUUUAGAUUUUGUACAAAUAAGACCAAAUUGUCCUUCUACUUGCUCUCCAAGUUUUGUAUUAACAUAAUUUAUUUAUUAAUUUUAAGUAAUACAUUGAAUCUGGACAA